AAACUAUUUUAAAUUAGUUUUGAAAACUAAUUUGGAUUUAUUUCGUAGUUUU
rnacentral:tRNA from 1 species